GGCUUGUGAGUGGGCAAAAGACAACAUAAGAAGUAAUGCUGUUGCACCUUGGUACAUCAAAACCUCUAUGGUGGAACAAAUCCUCAGCAAUGAGGCAUAUUUAGAAGAGGUAUAUUCUAGAACUCCUCUUCGGCGCCUUGGGGAUGCAACAGAGGUUUCAUCUGUGGUGGCAUUCCUUUGUUUACCUGCAUCAUCUUACAUCACUGGCCAGAUUAUUUGUGUUGAUGGAGGAAUGUCUGUGAAUGGUUUCUUCCCAAGUCAUGGUUAGAAGUGAUUACUUUAUUGAUUACCACCCUUCCCAUGAGAAGAUGAGCAUUGUGAUUGGGUAAAUAUUAGCUUCUGAGUUCCUGUUGAGAACCCUCAGAGCCAAAGGAGAUCUUACCAGUGACCUGCUAUGGCAAUCCUUCUCAUUUUAAUAACUACUUGGCUAUAGUUUUUCCUUUGCCUUUACUGGGUCUUUCUCACUUGUAUCAGUUGCUCUAUCUCUUUCAUGUGCAAGCCUUACAUUCAUGUGAAGCCUGAUUUUACUUUCAUUCCAUGGGGUUUUCCUGUUGUAUGAUUGACAAAUUUGCAUUGUGAGCAAUGUUUCUAAUGAGGAAAGUAAGUUAAUUGGAUUUUGGUAGUAUUAACUUUAUUAAUAUGAACUCUC
rnacentral:misc_RNA from 1 species